rnacentral:rRNA from 1 species
CAGUGGGCAAUUUUGGAGAAUGGGCGCAAGCCUGAUCCAGCCAUGCCGCGUGCAGGAUGAAGGCCUUCGGGUUGUAAACUGCUUUUGUACGGAACGAAAAGGUGCCUUCUAAUAAAGGGCGCUCAUGACGGUACCGUAAGAAUAAGCACCGGCUAACUACGUGCCAGCAGCCGCGGUAAU